rfam:Schistosoma mansoni strain Puerto Rico chromosome 7, complete genome
GGACGGCUGAGGAGUCCCAUAAUAGGACGAAAUGGCCGUCUAGUGC